rnacentral:rRNA from 1 species
GAUGAACGCUGGCGGCGUGCCCAAUACAUGCAAGUCGAGCGAAUGGAUUGAGAGCUUGCUCUUAUGAAGUUAGCGGCGGACGGGUGAGUAACACGUGGGUAACCUGCCCAUAAGACUGGGAUAACUCCGGGAAACCGGGGCUAAUACCGGAUAACAUUUUGAACCGCAUGGUUCGAAAUUGAAAGGCGGCUUCGGCUGUCACUUAUGGAUGGACCCGCGUCGCAUUAGCUAGUUGGUGAGGUAACGGCUCACCAAGGCAACGAUGCGUAGCCGACCUGAGAGGAUGAUCGGCCACACUGGGACUGAGACACGGCCCAGACUCCUACGGGAGGCAGCAGUAGGGAAUCUUCCGCAAUGGACGAAAGUCUGACGGAGCAACGCCGCGUGAGUGAUGAAGGCUUUCGGGUCGUAAAACUCUGUUGUUAGGGAAGAACAAGUGCUAGUUGAAUAAGCUGGCACCUUGACGGUACCUAACCAGAAAGCCACGGCUAACUACGUGCCAGCAGCCGCAGUAA